AUUGAACGCUGGCGGCAGGCCUAACACAUGCAAGUCGAACGGUAACAGGAAGCGGCUUGCUGCUUCGCUGACGAGUGGCGGACGGGUGAGUAAUGUCUGGGAAGCUGCCUGAUGGAGGGGGAUAACUACUGGAAACGGUAGCUAAUACCGCAUAAUGUCGCAAGACCAAAGAGGGGGACCUUCGGGCCUCUUGCCAUCGGAUGUGCCCAGAUGGGAUUAGCUUGUUGGUGGGGUAACGGCUCACCAAGGCGACGAUCCCUAGCUGGUCUGAGAGGAUGACCAGCCACACUGGGACUGAGACACGGUCCAGACUCCUACGGGAGGCAGCAGUGGGGAAUAUUGCACAAUGGGCGCAAGCCUGAUGCAGCCAUGCCGCGUGUAUGAAGAAGGCCUUCGGGUUGUAAAGUACUUUCAGCGGGGAGGAAGGGAGUAAAGUUAAUACCUUUGCUCAUUGACGUUACCCGCAGAAGAAGCACCGGCUAACUCCGUG
rnacentral:rRNA from 1 species